rnacentral:rRNA from 1 species
AACGAACGCUGGCGGCAGGCCUAACACAUGCAAGUCGAGCGCGCCCUUCGGGUUGAGCGGCGGACGGGUGAGUAACCCGUGGGAACAGGCCCUUUUCUACGGAAUACCAUCGGGAAAUUGAGAGUAAUACCGUAUACGCCCUUUGGGGGAAAGAUUUAUAGGACAAGGAUCGGCCCGCGUUGGAUUAGGUUGUGCGUAUGGUAAUGGCCUACCAAGCCGACGAUCCAUAGCUGGUUUGAGAGGAUGAUCAGCCACCCUGGGACUGAGACACGGCCCAGACUCAUACGGGAGGCAGCAGUGGUGAAUAUGAGAAAACGGGGGCAAUUCUGAGCGAUUCAUGCCGCGUGAGUGCUGAAGACCUUAGGGAUGUAAUGCGCUUUCAGCUGGGAAGAUAAUGACGGUACCCUCAGAAGAAGCCCCGGCUAACUCCGUG